CACCCAUGUCAGCCUUUUUAUACCCAUUUACAAUUUGGAGUAAAAAAUCAGCUAGUUCUAAUUCUUCUAAACGCUGUCAUGAAUAUUAAUGUUAUUAAUAUUAAUAAGCAUGACAACCAUCCUGAAUCCCUUUAGAAAGUCUUGGUUGAUGUUCUGAGGGACUUGUUUCUGUUAUGACCUGAUGAAACGUGCGUGCAUCGCGUCCGCCGUUUCUUAGAUUCGCCCACAUGAAGGCGUUAUUGACCUGCUUUUCAAUCGUUUUCUGCCUUUGUUUUUCAUCUCUAGGAGCAAGUGCAGCUAGCAGGUUGAAACUUCCACACGUCCCACCACCGAGCUGACACAGACCCUCAGUCUGAUCGCCGUUGAAACAUUCCUGGUAGGACGUGAAAGCACUGAGCGCCCAUCAGUAUCCCAACAUUUAACCCUUCCUGGGAUGCUCCUCUCCAUCCUUCAAACCUAGCAUCUGAAGCCUGGGCUACGCUAGCUCCAGCAGUUCCACUGUUAGCCCCUGAGCUUUGGCCUGGCGUCGUAAAAGCUGUCUAUGGCAGCCCUGUUCCUCACGGCGCCCCCAGCAGCGCCUCCGUUCAGCCAGACGUGGGUAAACAGCUGAAGGCGGACUUUGUGUCAGUGGAUGCUAACCAAGCCGCUACCUAACGGGACAGCAGCAGGCCCGCUGCCACCAGCUUUAUCUGCAGGCCGCUAAGGGGUUCUCGCUAACUCCACUUAUGCUGGUGUUUUAUUUAUGGCAGCUUCUGUCUCGCAGCGCCGCUGCUUAUUGCCCGGAGCAAAGUCUGAUGAUGGGGGAACUGCUGCGUCGUUACCUGGAUCCAUGUUUCCGUGGAAUCUGCUGAUUGGAUGACCCGAGGGACAGCGCGAUGGUGGACGUCCCAAACAGAGGGAGGCACCACAGGGCUGGUGCAGGAUUUGGGGCCAUCAUCCUCCGUGUCCUCGCUGCCAUGGUCCUGCUGGCACACAUCUGUUGAGCAGAAGCACCUGGCCGGAUCCUGAAAGAAGUGGUUCAGCCGUAUCAACUGUGAUGGGGAGACAGCAUGCGCAACGGAAUCCAGGAUGACUACACAUGCUCUCGGUGGCAUGUAGGAAGCAUACCAGUAGUCUUCAAGGGAUGUAACGUUAAAGUGGAUUCAAGGAGAGGUUUGUGCCAAUAUGAAUCAUCUACAGAACGAGCGUGUAAGAAGACACACACUCAAAUUGCACCUGCUGCACACACUUGUCAACAAAUGGCACAAUCGA